rnacentral:rRNA from 1 species
AGUUGUAAAUUUAGUUUAAGCUUACCAGAGUACUACGAACUAAAAAGUUUAAAACUCAAAGGGCUUGGCGGUGUUUUAGACCUCUCAGGGGAACCUGUCUCAUAAUCGACAAUCCGCGUUAAACCUAACCCUCUAUGGCAAUACAGCCUGUAUACCGUCGUCGUCAGGUAACUUCUUAAAAUAUAUUAGUUAGCUCGAGAAUAUUAUUAAUUGAAACGUCAGAUCAAGGUGCAGCUAAUAAGAAGGUGAGGAUGGGUUACAAUUACAAAUUUGUAAUUAUGGAAAGGUACUUGAAACUUAAUACCAUGAAAGAGGACUUGAAAGUAAUUUUAAGUAUAUAAAUAAAAUGAAUAAGGCUCUGAAACGUG